rnacentral:lncRNA from 1 species
UUUCACUUCUCCUCUCUCCCUCCUCUCUCUACACCGGAGCGGCGGCGCCAUCGGCGGCGGCCGGAGGAGGUGGCGGCGCCGUCGCGGGGCCCCUCGCCGGCGCGCGUGCUCACCCUAGGCAGAGCGCGCCGCCGUCGAGCGGCCUUGUGACGGUGUGGUCGGCGCCCUCUCGUCUCCCCCCGGCUUCGGCGACGGCCGGCGACGGCGGUGGAUGGGGAAACACGGCGGCGCCAUCUUUUCUUUUCUCUUCUCUUCUCCCCCCACCGUCUCUAGCCCCCACCGCGAAGUGAGAGAAAGAGGGCGGCGGCCGAAGGAGAUGGCGGCGCCGCCGCGGCCCCCCUCGCCGGCACGCGCGUGCACCCGCGGGUGCGCGCACGGCCGUCGAGUUGCUCCUAGGUGGUGCCUCUUUGCCCCUCCCCCCUCCGUUGCCGGCGUCAACGACGGCCGGCGACGAGGUAAGAUUAGGGUUAGGGUUUUUCUUUUCGUUCCGUCGGAUCGUUUGCUUUUCUUUGCUUUUCUCUUUGGAUUUCUUUCCCGAACCAAUCUAAACACUAGGGUUGCUCUGAUACCAUUGUUAGUGUUGUCUAUUAGAUCACCUAGGUUUAGAUCUAGUCGGGUGGUUCUAUUUGCGAUGGAUGAUUGAACAACAAUAGAGAAUAAGGGAAAGGGUUUAGGGAUGUGACCGGUUGACACGUUGGAUGAAGAGGAAGUCCCGGCCAUCGUCGUUGUCGUCGCUCUGCUUGACAUGGGCGGCGGCGGUGAUGGUGGUCGUGACAGCGACGGUGCUGCGCGGCAGUGGUGGUCGUAGGGGAUCCCGGCGAGGUCGUGGCGCGGCGGUGGAGUCUUCCCGUCACUGGCUGCGCCCCCUCGAUCGGUUAGGCCUCGUUCGGCACGUGGGGAGGGAUUUCCCUGGGGGAAACACCACCAGUCCAGGAUUGGGUGGAUCCCCUCCCACCACCCAAUCCACUUCCACGUUGGGUGUUAAACCCCCAUGCUAUUCGGAUGGGGAAAACAGGGGAAAAGCAGGGAAAGCAGGGCAAACACAUCUCUUUGAAUAAAAACUGAGCAUAGAUAGCACAUCUCAACUUACGAAUAGAAUCAAACUAUAAAAUCACACAAAAUAAUACGAAAUUUCAAAAAAAAAAAAGAGCUGAUAACUAAUUUCUACAAUGGCAUGUACAGAAGAAAACCAAAAUUAAGAAAAUAGUUCAUUAAAUAAAGAAAAUGAAAAUACUGACAAGCUUUUAAACGAUAGUUAACACUGCUAUUCAAUGUAGCAGUUGACAUUCGCAUGUGGUAAGUCAAUCUGUGCCCUCCAAACAAUAUUACAAGCAUAUAUAGUAGUUGCCAAUGUACCCCACGCAUUUAAAUUCUAGUGAUUAGCAAGUGACAUUAACACCUAGAACACUGAGUACAACCACAAACUAGGUUCCCAGGUUCCAAAAUCGAUUUGUCCACAAAUUUAAGAAAUGAAGAUGGUAACUGCAUGCACUGUUGUCCUAUCUUUGACACCAUUUGAUCUUCACCUAAUAAUAUUAGCUCCAUGACCUGAGAGGAGAAAAUGAUGAGCAUUGUGACCCCAAGAAAAGAUUAAAAAAAAGACACAGACACGGCAGCCAAAGAACAGCUGUUGCAGCAUCCAGAAACAAGACUCUGAUAAGUUUUUACAGGUGAUCACAACAACAGAAAACUUCCAAUGUAGAACAGCAUCCAGAAAAUGACAGCACAUUAGGAGGAGAACAAUGUUGGCCCACAGAUAAGUUUAUUUUACAAAGAUAUGACAUAGCAGGACUAUGGUAGCUUAAUGCCGACAGUAAAGCAUAAAAAAAAAGUAUAGAGAAGUUGGACUGAUGACAACAAUGUCAAGCUCAACAGGACUACAGGAGAAAUGAAAAAAGGCUGAUCACUAUCAUCAUGCUAUUCAUGUAUAUCAACAUAAAUGAAACUUUAGGCAGAACAUACCUCACAAAAGCACCCAAUCUCAUGUAAAUCAACCCUGCCAAUACAAGAAAACCAGGUAAGUAGGGGAUCAGAAAUGUCAACCAAGUAAGACAGCAUGCUAAGAUGACACUAAUGAAAAUAAAAUAUCAUAAUCAGAAAUGUUACUCACCAUCUGAAGUUUCAGCCACAAAAUUCUAGCGGUUGGAUUAGCACUGAUAAAGAUUUCUCUGUUCUGAGCAUCCUUAAAAACACUAAAUGACCGGGCAUUUUCCUCAGGGGAUAGUUCAUUCAUUGUGCUCAAGACAUCGAUACAUUUCUUGAUUGAAAAUUCAUCAACUUGCUUUGUAGCCUCUUUUUCCCGUACCAUUUCCUCCUCAGCUUGUUUAUGUCACAGCUCUAUGUAUUUCUCCAUUGCAUCAGCCACAUUCCCAUUUUGCUUAUGUCUUUUUGGGUUCUUCUCUCUUUUAUCCUCAGGAGGUUUCCUUGAUGUACUGACAGUUUGUCUUCUUUGAUUUAACUGAUUUGACACUUCAACUUUUGAUUGUUCACUUGCUGUGAUUGGAUCAUCAUUGUUUAGGUCAUCUUGAUUGUUCUCCAUCAGCAAAUCAUCAGCACCUACUUGUGUAACAAUAUCAUCUUCUGUGUUUCUUGACUGAUCUAGUGUAUUUGUUGGCUGAAGGGAUGUAAAGUUCAAGAGGCCCUCGGCAGUUUGACCUAUUCAAGAAAAGAAAUGCAUGCCGAUAACUAAGUGAAAAGUAGUUCGAAUGGUUUAUGGAUAGAUCUGAGAAUUAGUAAAUUACCAUCAUAUAGUUCUCCUAAAGCUUCAAAGAUUGGAAAUGGUUUGUUGCGGAACUUCUUAGCUCGAGGGAAAGACUGUUAAGUUUUAGAGAUGAAAAAGAAACUGAGUUAAUUAUGAGGCAAAAGGAGAAUAUAGAAAGUAAAGGAACAUGACAGAACAUAACAAGAUAUAUAUGAGGAGAGACAAUUCAACAAUUGCACGGAAUUCAAUAGUUCAAGAAACUUACAUGAAUAAUAUUAUCCCAAACUGCAGGAUCAUCAGCAAUAAUCAUCCCGAGUUUUUCGUCCCAAGAUGCCCCACUUUGUGUUCUUGCAUCUUUCAAGCACCUGUAGUCUCUCUUAAGCUCCUUUUCUUUAUCUUGAAUUUGUCCUUUUGAAAAACAAAUGUGCGGGAACUUAUCA